AAAUUGAAGAGUUUGAUCAUGGCUCAGAUUGAACGCUGGCGGCAGGCCUAACACAUGCAAGUCGAGCGGAAACGAGUUACCUGAACCUUCGGGGAACGAUAGCGGCGUCGAGCGGCGGACGGGUGAGUAAUGCCUAGGAAAUUGCCCUGAUGUGGGGGAUAACCAUUGGAAACGAUGGCUAAUACCGCAUGAUGCCUACGGGCCAAAGAGGGGGACCUUCGGGCCUCUCGCGUCAGGAUAUGCCUAGGUGGGAUUAGCUAGUUGGUGAUGUAAGGGCUCACCAAGGCGACGAUCCCUAGCUGGUCUGAGAGGAUGAUCAGCCACACUGGAACUGAGACACGGUCCAGACUCCUACGGGAGGCAGCAGUGGGGAAUAUUGCACAAUGGGCGCAAGCCUGAUGCAGCCAUGCCGCGUGUGUGAAGAAGGCCUUCGGGUUGUAAAGCACUUUCAGUCGUGAGGAAGG
rnacentral:rRNA from 1 species